rnacentral:rRNA from 1 species
GAUUGAACGCUGGCGGCAUGCCUUACACAUGCAAGUCGAACGGCAGCACGGGUGCUUGCACCUGGUGGCGAGUGGCGAACGGGUGAGUAAUACAUCGGAACAUGUCCUGUAGUGGGGGAUAGCCCGGCGAAAGCCGGAUUAAUACCGCAUACGAUCUACGGAUGAAAGCGGGGGACCUUCGGGCCUCGCGCUAUAGGGUUGGCCGAUGGCUGAUUAGCUAGUUGGUGGGGUAAAGGCCUACCAAGGCGACGAUCAGUAGCUGGUCUGAGAGGACGACCAGCCACACUGGGACGGAGACACGGCCCAGACUCCUACGGGAGGCAGCAGUGGGGAAUUUUGGACAAUGGGCGAAAGCCUGAUCCAGCAAUGCCGCGUGCGUGAAGAAGGCCUUCGGGUUGUAAAGCACUUUUGUCCGGAAAGAAAUCCUUGGCUCUAAUACAGUCGGGGGAUGACGGUACCGGAAGAAUAAGCACCGGCUAACUACGUGCCAGCAGCCGCGGUAAUACGUAGGGUGCGAGCGUUAAUCGGAAUUACUGGGCGUAAAGCGUGCGCAGGCGGUUUGCUAAGACCGAUGUGAAAUCCCCGGGCUCAACCUGGGAACUGCAUUGGUGACUGGCAGGCUAGAGUAUGGCAGAGGGGGGUAGAAUUCCACGUGUAGCAGUGAAAUGCGUAGAGAUGUGGAGGAAUACCGAUGGCGAAGGCAGCCCCCUGGGCCAAUACUGACGCUCAUGCACGAAAGCGUGGGGAGCAAACAGGAUUAGAUACCCUGGUAGUCCACGCCCUAAACGAUGUCAACUAGUUGUUGGGGAUUCAUUUCCUUAGUAACGUAGCUAACGCGUGAAGUUGACCGCCUGGGGAGUACGGUCGCAAGAUUAAAACUCAAAGGAAUUGACGGGGACCCGCACAAGCGGUGGAUGAUGUGGAUUAAUUCGAUGCAACGCGAAAAACCUUACCUACCCUUGACAUGGUCGGAAUCCCGCUGAGAGGUGGGAGUGCUCGAAAGAGAACCGGCGCACAGGUGCUGCAUGGCUGUCGUCAGCUCGUGUCGUGAGAUGUUGGGUUAAGUCCCGCAACGAGCGCAACCCUUGUCCUUAGUUGCUACGCAAGAGCACUCUAAGGAGACUGCCGGUGACAAACCGGAGGAAGGUGGGGAUGACGUCAAGUCCUCAUGGCCCUUAUGGGUAGGGCUUCACACGUCAUACAAUGGUCGGAACAGAGGGUUGCCAACCCGCGAGGGGGAGCUAAUCCCAGAAAACCGAUCGUAGUCCGGAUUGCACUCUGCAACUCGAGUGCAUGAAGCUGGAAUCGCUAGUAAUCGCGGAUCAGCAUGCCGCGGUGAAUACGUUCCCGGGUCUUGUACACACCGCC